GAUUAACGCUGGCGGCGUGCUUAACACAUGCAAGUCGAACGGAAAGGCUCCUGCUUGCAGGGGUACUCGAGUGGCGAACGGGUGAGUAACACGUGGGUGAUCUGCCCUGCACUUCGGGAUAAGCCUGGGAAACUGGGUCUAAUACCGGAUAGGACGAUGGUUUGGAUGCCAUUGUGGAAAGUUUUUCGGUGUGGGAUGAGCUCGCGGCCUAUCAGCUUGUUGGUGGGGUAAUGGCCUACCAAGGCGUCGACGGGUAGCCGGCCUGAGAGGGUGUACGGCCACAUUGGGACUGAGAUACGGCCCAGACUCCUACGGGAGGCAGCAGUGGGGAAUAUUGCACAAUGGGCGCAAGCCUGAUGCAGCGACGCCGCGUGGGGGAUGACGGCCUUCGGGUUGUAAACUCCUUUCGCUAGGGACGAAGCGCAAGUGACGGUACCUGGAGAAGAAGCACCGGCUAACUACGUG
rnacentral:rRNA from 1 species